rnacentral:rRNA from 1 species
CAGCCGCCGCGGGAAUACGAAGGUCCCGAGCGUUGUUCGGAAUCACUGGGCGUAAAGGGAGCGUAGGCGGCGUGGUAAGUCAGAUGUGAAAUCCCGGGGCUCAACCCCGGAACUGCAUCCGAUACUGCCGUGCUAGAGGAUUGGAGAGGUAGCUGGAAUUCUUGGUGUAGCAGUGAAAUGCGUGGAGAUCAAGAGGAACACUCGUGGCGAAAGCGAGCUACUGGACAAUAACUGACGCUGAGGCUCGAAGGCCAGGGUAGCGAAAGGGAUUAGAUACCCCGGUAGUCCCUGUCUCUUAUAC